CAGUUCCUUCUGCACUGGCGCAUAUGCAUUUUCUCCGCACUAUCCCCUUAGAUUCCAGUUAAGCCGAUUCCCAGUUUCUUCUCCCAACCUUGUUCCUUGUUGAAGCGUUCUUCGUCCGCUGAUUCGAUUGCGAGUGUUGCCAAUACAGACGAUAGUAGGCCUGGAAUUGUUGGCUAGUCUGAUUAUGCUGGUUUCCCAAUUGUUAAGUAACUAGUUCAAGAAUAAUUUUAACUAUUCGUGGAGCGUUCGUUCUGCGUGGCCUUGUCUACCUGUUUCCUGACAAAAAGACGCUGCCUUAAAUGAAAACGUCGGCAGCCGCUAUAUGUGUCUGAGCGCAGUACCUAUGGCGGAAAAAUUUACUAACCGUGCCGUAUUUAACAUUUGAACACUGGAUGUGCAAACAUAUCUAUAUAUUGUAGCAUGCCUUUGGGAAAAUUUCUUCUUCUCCCUAUAUACAGGCCGGAAUACUCCUUAGAAUCGGACAGUGGUCUGUAUGAUCCGUUUGUAGUGGAUAUACUGGGAGCGUCCGGUGAACUGAUGCGUGGGUAUGUCUGUGAUGUGGACGAGCACGGCGUGUCCGUUAGGCUGGACGCCCAUACGGUGCAGCAUGCCGCGUAUGGUGAUGUGUGGAGUGUUAAAGACCCCGAUUUCGAUGAAUCCACUACGGACCUGAGCUCGGGCGAUAUCGAAGUUCGCAUCGACCUCCAGGACAGCGGCGUGGCGGCGUGGACGCCGGCUCGCUUGGUGGACAGCAUUCGCUGGGCGGAGACCGAAUGGUUCCUGCCUAGUUCGUGCGGGUAUUCGGGUCGUCACCGUGGAAGUGCCCCAAGCGGAUGCCAUCGUAGGGCACUACACCGUCAUUGAUGGACCCACCGCACUGACGCAACGGCUGCGCCGGCGCGGAGAUCACGGCCCGCUCGUGCCUCGUGGUGCUUUUCAAAAGGUCCGCGCCCAUGUUCCGUCCGAGCCCAUGUUCCGUCCGUCCGAGAAGUAUCCGCAUCCCGUGCGCUUUCUGCAAGCAGCGUGUUCCUUCCCACGAUUCCAUACAUACUGGCUGCGAGACUCGCACACGAUGCUGCUGGGCCUUCACGAUGACUAUAUGGAGCUGCUGCUGGCCCCCCCGAGCGCGCGGAAAUGUAUAACGAAGUGAAGAACUACUACCUCGCCGACACAGGCCGCUAUGACGGUUUUCUAGUGCGGAGAGCGACAACGGAAUUUGUGGAAGGCUUGUUCGUUAUGCAGCAGCGGACGGUCGGCGACAUACUCGGUGGCUUAGUCUGCACCGUUCUACAGUCCGAAGAGUUUCUUGACGAUGAGCCCUACUUUAGCGAACUAAUCCUGGAAAUUCAAAUCAUCGUCUACUCCAAUCUGGACAUAUUCCAUCAAAAUCUACUUAAAAGACGGCACGUUAAUUACCUGUCGGUUACGAAACGCUGCUGGCGUUACAGGCCGUUUCAUGAGGAUGUGGGUCCCGAUGAUGCGGACGCAGCAAGCAGAACGUGGAGGUGAAACGGAAGUUUCGCCUGUGUGCACUACCUGGCGCGCACUGUCACGGAGCACUGCCGCGUUUUGUGCCUCGUGGGAGAGUGGGAAUACUGUCUGUUCUCCUUGGUCGACUUACUGAAAUUUCUGUCACUGAAGCUCAAGUGGCUCGUCAUCACUGGCAAUACAGACCUGUACAUUAACGAACUGGAUUUCCCCAGCCGACCAAUGUCUUAACCGUGAUCGAGCCGGAUGUGUAUAUGUUGUUCCCUUACCAGGCUCCGCAGUUCCGAACCAUAUGCGAUCAUCUCCUGCUGCGACAGUGUGUGUUCGACGCGAAGAACUCCAUUAACCUCCCUAUAGUACGUCGUAACGGGGAGACAGGGGGCGUGGACCACGAUCUGUGCACCCGAUACGAAGCCACCUUCUUUCUCAACGUGGCUCGUUGGUCGUUCAGUUUUGCCGGCACAACGACAGCGGAUUAUUCGGCUUCCGUUCGCCGAAUGUUAGAAGUGUGCUGUCCGGAACUGGAGGGCACACAGCUGCAUCGUCUGCUGUAUGGCUUAAACGCUUUCACAGUCCCCGAACAUCUGCCGGAGGAAUUACUGUGGGCGUUCCUAAGCGUCUCGUUUAUGCUGGACAGCAGUCCGCCUCCCGAUACCAUUGAAGACAUCCAGACGGCCCUUCUGACAGAAUCGCCUCAGCGAAAACUGGUGACCCAGACGCUGCAUUUAUUACCAUUUUUGCAGUAAAUGAGCGCCGGGAUGUGAUUAUCCGCUGAAUAACCUCCUGACAACCUGAAAAUUGCAUAGGGACAAUUAAGAAGCUACUGCACUUCACACUGCACCUCUCCGGCGUCCAUCUUUCUCCCGUUUUAUUAAAAUAAAUAUCUGAUCCGAAUCGAAGUGGGCGCACGGCGAUGGCUUCGUGGAUGGCGAAUUCUCAGGCCCGUUGCGGCCUUUGGCAGGCCUUCCUGUGCAGCUGUGUAAUACUGCUGCAGCAGCUGUCCUUGUCGGCGGGAUGUCCGUCAGCCAGCCCACCGAGCCCACCACAACCGCAGAGGUCGCUGUCGUUCGACGGACAGCAGCGCAAG